UACAGAGGGUGCAAGCGUUAAUCGGAAUUACUGGGCGUAAAGCGCGCGUAGGUGGUUUGUUAAGUUGGAUGUGAAAUCCCCGGGCUCAACCUGGGAACUGCAUUCAAAACUGACUGACUAGAGUAUGGUAGAGGGUGGUGGAAUUUCCUGUGUAGCGGUGAAAUGCGUAGAUAUAGGAAGGAACACCAGUGGCGAAGGCGACCACCUGGACUGAUACUGACACUGAGGUGCGAAAGCGUGGGGAGCAAACAGG
rnacentral:rRNA from 2 species